GGUUAGCAUCCUAGCAUGCUUGUGGGAUUAUCUUGAUGGGAUUGAGGCUAACAGCCAUGCUGCUGCUGAUCCAUCCUGCCAGGUCCCAGCCUGGCAGAAGUCAUUUUGCAGCAAGGAGAGACUAAGACAGCAGUGGGAUCUCAAGAUGAGCUGCCUCUUUGCCACAUACUUCUGCCUCCAUUACCUUCAGCCCAAGUACAGAGGGACAAGUAACCAUGGAUGGAACCUUUUGGAGCCAGGAGCCAAAACAAAACUGCCUCCCCUCAAAUUGUUCCUGUGUGGUUUGGUCAAAGCAAUGAGAAGAGCUGCUGUGAUCCUUAACUGGCUAUAAAGUGGAGCUCCUCCUGGG
rnacentral:lncRNA from 1 species